rnacentral:rRNA from 1 species
ACUCAAAUGAAUUGACGGGGGCCCGCACAAGCAGCGGAGCGUGUGGUUUAAUUCGAUGCAACGCGCAGAACCUUACCCAGACUUGACAUGGCGGCAGUAGCGGCGGGAAACCGCCGCGACUCGUCGAGGCGAGCACCGCCACAGAUGCUGCAUGGCUGUCGUCAGCUCGUGCCGUGAGGUGUUGGGUUAAGUCCCGCAACGAGCGCAACCCUUGGUGUCAGUUAUUUGUCUGGCACGACUGCCGGGAUCAACCCGGAGGAAGGUGGGGAUGACGUCAAGUCAGCACGGCUCUUACGUCUGGGGCUACACACACGCUACAAUGGGCGGUACAAUGGGCAGCGAAGGGGCGACCCGGAGCGAAUCCCAGCAAAGCCGUCCUCAGUUGGGAUCGGAGGCUGCAACUCGCCUCCGUGAACGCGGAGUUGCUAGUAACCGCUGGUCAGCACACAGCGGUGAAUACGUUCCCGGGCCUUGUACACACCGCCCGU